UACGAAGGGUGCAAGCGUUAAUCGGAAUUACUGGGCGUAAAGGGUGCGUAGGCGGUUCGUUAAGUCUGUCGUGAAAUCCCCGGGCUCAACCUCGGGCGUGCGGUGGAUACUGCCGGGCUAGAGGACGGUAGAGGCGAGUGGAAUUCCCGGUGUAGCAGUGAAAUGCGUAGAGAUCGGGAGGAACACCAGUGGCGAAGGCGACUCUCUGGUCUGUAACUGACGCUGAGGCGCGAAAGCGUGGGUAGCGAACAGG
rnacentral:rRNA from 1 species